CACUAGACACCGCGCGAUGCUCUGAUUAACGGAAAGGCUCAUUAAAAGUUAUAGUUUAUUUGAUACAUUAAUGGAUAACUGUAGAAAAACUAGAGCUAGUACAUGCCAAUGCCGUAAGGUUGUAUUUAUUAGAUAUUCCAAAUAAGAUGAAUCAUAAUAACUCCGCAAAUCUCGAUUUCAUCGAGAACUACCGCUCCAAGUUUCUGUCCUAUCAGCUUUCGAUGGUAGUGUAUUGGACUACCAUGGCUCUCACGGGUAACAGGGAAUUAGGGUUCGCCCCCCCCCCAGGAGCCUGAGAAACGGCUACUACAUCUAAGGGAGGCAGCAGGCGCGUAAAUUACCCAAUCCUGACUCAGGGAGGUGGUGACAAGAUAUAAUAACCCUAUUAACGUAGUGAUUAUAGUGAGGAUAUUCCAAACAGAAUCACAAGAACGAUUAGAGGGCAAGUCUGGU
rnacentral:rRNA from 1 species